AUGCCGGCCAUUCGGGUGGGCAUCCUUUUAGGCAUAAAGGAUGCCACCUUCGAGGUGGGUAGCAUGGACAUAGGCGAGUUUUAUGUUAGCAUGGAGGUCUUCGAGCGGGCUCUCAACUUCAAAUGGGAGAUUGUCGUAGUCUAUGGCCCCGCCGACCACCGUCGUUCCGAGGCCUUCCUCGACGAGCUCCUGAGGAAGGUCUCGGCCGCCCAAUUGCUCGUGGUAGUUGGAGGCGACUUCAACCUUAUCGAACGAUCAUCCACCCCACCCCCGCGUUUCCGCUUCGAGACCUUCUGGCUUAACCAGGAAGGGUUCAUCAAGGCCAUCCGUGACAGGUGGAGUUGCGGCCCAGGUUGCCCCUCACCGGACCCUCUCUGCUGUGCUAAACGUGCGCGCCAGUUUAUGAAGGGAUGGGGUGCUAACCUCGGUCGGACUUUGAGGAAACAUAAGGAAGCUCUUCUCACCUCCAUCCAGACAUUAGACCUCCGGGCGGACGCCUCGGGCCUGUCUCCAAACGAGUGA
rnacentral:rRNA from 1 species